rnacentral:tRNA from 1 species
UGGGGUGUAGCUCAGUGGUAGAACAUGUGCUUAGCAUGCGCAAGGCCCUAGGUUCAACCCCCAGCACCAAAA